ensembl:lncRNA
AUGGCGGAAGCAGUGAAGUCAGAGAAAUCUGUGCAAAAGAUCCUGAUUCCUCUGGGGUACGAACUUGCAUGGUGCAGGGGACGAAUGUUUCUAAAUGACACAGGAAGCCAUUUGAUGCUGUCCUCAAGCCCCAGGGAUUUUACAGAGCUCCACCUCAGAUCGUCAGGCAUUGGAUCCCAGAGGCUGGGAACUACUGAGUGGCUGCUCAGACUACGUUUGUGAGCCAACAAGUGCAUGAAGUGGAUGGAUUCCAAGCAGCGUUCGGCAGCUUCUUUGGUGACCGGCUACACCGUUUGGCAGCGAGUUCAAGGGCUCAUAACUGCACAGAGCAAGGAGCCUGCUGAACAGUGAGGUUCCAGUUUAGAAAGAGUGCUGCAAACAAAGGUAGGCUUUUAUUUUGAGUAAGAUCCUUUCAUCUGCGCAAAAUCGCAUGCCUGAUCACGUGCCACUCACCACUGCCACGCUCACAGUGCUGGGCAUACAUCCUCACGCUCUCAUUCUUAAAUCCUGGAGGGUGGGGGACUUGAUGGCAGCAUUUUGUCCCAAGUUUCCAAUUUAUUGAACUCUCUCUGUGUCCCUAUUUCUCGCUUUGCUUCUCUUUACCACUUUCAGCUCCUGUCUUCUCCUUCUUUUUGGGUCCCUGUUUUAUUAAGAUGAUUAUUUUUGGUAGGUGGCUUGGAAUGUAAUAUUUGGUGUUUUGUUUUCAUGGGAGAAAACUGAUGGUAUUAUAGGUUUCCCAUGGACUACAGGGCAUGCCUAUCUCUGCCUCUCUCUGCCUGCCCGCCGGUCCUUAGGGAAAGUAGCUGCCUACAAAGCGUGGUCAAAGGUCUUCACUGCACUUGUGACGGUGCAUAGUUGUCUAUGUCUGAGUAAUUGCUGGAUUGCUCUCUGUCUUCCUCACUGAACACAGGCCACUGGAGGACGAUGCCCACCUGUUUGGAGCUUGGUUGUGUCUCUAGUACCUUUCAUGGUGACAGCAGACACACAAUAGCAUUUAUUGUGGGGCAGGAAAGAAUACAGUGUACCAGUUGAGUUAUGGGAAGUGUACCAGUUGAGUUAUGGGAAGUUCUUAGCUGGUCUUAACUACACUUUGGAAAUGGCACUCCACUUUGGAAAGAAUUGUGCAGAGAGUUCUUAGUCAUGAGCCUGUGGUUUGGUUUGUUGGUUUAGUUUAUUUUGAGACAUUCAAGAGAUGGUAUGGUUGGGUGGAGAUAGACAAACAAUGUAUCACAAUAAGGAUAAGUAUUAAUUAUGAUGAAUUCUAUGAACUUUCUAUUUCAGCAACUAAUUAUUGGAAUGUCCAGAUUGCUGUAGCAAUGUAUUAAGUUUCUGAAAACUUGGGAAAUACGGUCUAUGCUAGUUUUUCUAGGGUUACCACAACAAAGUACUACAGACUGAGUGACCUAAACAACAGAAAUUUAUUAUUUGGAGUCUAGAAAUUCAAGAUCAAGGUGUCCACAUGGUUGAUUCCUUCAAAGGGCCAGGAGGAGAAAUCUCUUCUACGCCUCUCUCCUAGCUUCUGUGGUUCCUGACAAUCUUUGGCAUUCCUUGGCUUGUAGAGGCAUCACCCUGAUCUCCAACUUCAUGUUCAUAUGGUCUCCCCUGUUUACCUGCAUCUUCUGAUUAGGACACCAGUCAGAUUGGACAGGAGCCCACCAUAUUCUGGGAUGACCUCAUGUGAACUAGUGAUGUCUGUCACACCCCUACUUCUAAAUAAGACCACUUUCUGAGAUGCUGCAGGUUAGCACUUUAACAUGUGAAUUUUUCAUGGACACAAUGGAC